rnacentral:rRNA from 1 species
AUUGAACGCUGGCGGCAUGCUUUACACAUGCAAGUCGAACGGUAACAGGCCUUCGGGUGCUGACGAGUGGCGAACGGGUGAGUAAUGCAUCGGAACGUACCCAGAGGUGGGGGAUAACGCAGCGAAAGCUGUGCUAAUACCGCAUGUGAUCUGAGGAUGAAAGCGGGGGACCGAGCAGCAAUGUUUGGCCUCGCGCCUUUGGAGCGGCCGAUGUCGGAUUAGCUAGUUGGUGGGGUAAAGGCCUACCAAGGCGACGAUCCGUAGCUGGUCUGAGAGGACGACCAGCCACACUGGGACUGAGACACGGACCAGACUCCUACGGGAGGCAGCAGUGGGGAAUUUUGGACAAUGGGCGCAAGCCUGAUCCAGCAAUGCCGCGUGCGGGAAGAAGGCCUUCGGGUUGUAAACCGCUUUUGGCAGGAACGAAACGGUGUCCGCUAAUACCGGGCGCUAAUGACGGUACCUGCAGAAUAAGCACCGGCUAACUACGUG